CCUACGGGAGGCAGCAGUAGGGAAUAUUGCGCAAUGGGGGAAACCCUGAAGCAGCAACGCCGCGUGAAGGAUGAAGGUUUUCGGAUUGUAAACUCCUUUUGUUAGGGAAGAUGAUGACGGUAUCUCACGACUAAGCACCGCCUAACGCCGUGCCGGCAGACGCGGUCAUACGGAGGUUGCAACCGUUACUCGGAUUCACUGGGCGGAAGGAGCGCGUAGGAGGGACAGAAAGUCAGAUGUGAAACCCUCGGGCUCAACCAUAGAACUGCAUUUGAAACUGUUAUUCUAGAGUAGGGGAGAGGUAGGUGGAAUGUUUGGUGUAGGGGUAAAAUCCGUAGAGAUCAAGAGGAACACUCAUUGCGAAGGCGACCUGCUAGAACAUAACUGACGCUGAUGCGCGAAAGCGUGGGGAGCAAACAGGAUUAGAUACCCCAGUAGUC
rnacentral:rRNA from 1 species